UUGUAGGCUGCAACUCGCCUACAUGAAGUCGGAAUCGCUAGUAAUCGCGGAUCAGCAUGCCGCGGUGAAUACGUUCCCGGGCCUUGUACACACCGCCCGUCACACCAUGAGAGUUUGUAACACCCAAAGCCGGUGGGGUAACCCUUUGGAGCCAGCCGUCUAAGGUGGGACAGAUGAUUGGGGUGAAGUCGUAACAAGGUAGC
rnacentral:rRNA from 1 species